CCCCUUUCUCUAUUAUACACUGACUCACCUGUGGUGGAAGGAGCUUCUGUAACAUGUACAGUGGUGCUUGUUGGCAAAACGGUCACUGGAGCUAAGAAAACAAUUCACAAAUUCAAAACAUACAUUUUGGGAGAGUGAAUUGCAUUAUGGACCAGUUUUGAGUUAAUUACGUGCCAUACAACAAAUAGGGCCGGCGUGUUUUUUUUUGUGGACGAGAAAGCUAGAAAGACUAAGUUAAUUGAUUUCCAUUGUUGCCCAAGAGUGUAGAGUAGUGAAAAUAAAUUAUAUCUCGCCACAAAUUACCUUUCAUGACCCUUAAGUUUUGAAUAAUUUUUUUGUCGUUGAAAAUGCCAUCUAUGUCCACUCUGCAACAGUAUGGCCCACUGUCUGUCCGCUUGACGUCGAGAAUUCCCAGGUCCAUUUCUCCCGCGAGGACAUCACCUGCCAGUCUGUACCUGUCCGACACCUUGGAGAUGACGCCAUGUUUGUCUGUCUGCGCGAGGAUGUUGUUGCACCAGAACGUGCCACAUUCUCGUCCCCAGCACACGCGGCUCAAACCCAAACGGCUCACUGAAUAUUGACAGGACAAUGUCGCAGUAGCACCUUCCAUCACCUUGAAUGCUGACACUGAACACCUGGCUGUUGAGCAGGGGGAAAUAAACACAGAUAACGUUUCCUUGCCUGAAAAUGUUAGGAGGACGAGGAUCCAACGACGGGGGGAAAACGGUCCAGAACUAGCAGCCAUCUUGUGUAUCCAGUGUGUAGGAGUGGAGGGUGUGUGCUGGGAAUGGGCAGGGUGGUGCAGAGACAGGGCAUCUGAAUGGGCAGCUGUGUUCUCGUGGGGGCCACUGCUUGUGACAUCUCCAGGCAGGACAGCCACAGCCACUGUGACCCCUCUGCUAACCUCCUCCUAUGGCAGGGCCGGGAGCGAAGAAAAGGCCCAUUGUUGACGGAAUUUUCAUCUGCAUAUACCAGAGUAAACAAACUGAUGAUUUAGGAGGCUCAUCUCCCAGGGUACACAAUGUGUUUUUAAAAGCUAACCCAUAGCCAAAGGUUAUGACUAGCCAGUUCCCCAAAUCCUUAAAUUGAUGUAAGGCUUUUAGUAGUUUUUAACAAUGUAUUAGUGGAAAAAUCAAUUGUGUAGCAAAUGAAUAAUUAGACACAUUAGAAUUUCAAGUUAGAAUUUUUAUUAUCAUGCAACAGAUUGGGUUUGAACAAGACAAUAUACCCCAAAAUUGGGUAAAGAAGACCAUUUUCCGAAGAAUGUCGCGAUUAUGUGUGACUUUUCACUGCCUUUGUAUGCCUGGGUGAUGUUGCAGAUGGGUGUAGCUAAAUGUCCUGGUUAGAGGACAUGGAGGGGAUAGAAAACCA